ACAAUAAACCGCUGCGUACCA
rnacentral:siRNA from 1 species